rnacentral:rRNA from 1 species
UACGUAGGGGGCAAGCGUUGUCCGGAUUUAUUGGGCGUAAAGCGCGCGCAGGCGGUUCUUUAAGUCUGAUGUGAAAGCCCACGGCUCAACCGUGGCGGGUCAUUGGAAACUGGAGGACUUGAGUGCAGGAGAGGGAAGUGGAAUUCCACGUGUAGCGGUGAAAUGCGUAGAGAUGUGGAGGAACACCAGUGGCGAAGGCGACUUUCUGGCCUGUAACUGACGCUGAGGCGCGAAAGCGUGGGGAGCAAACAGG